GUGAUGGAAUCAUGGAAACCCUGUGCAGAGAGCCUCCUAGACCAAAACAUUCAAAUUCAAAUCCAAAUGCAGGCAAAGCCAGCCUGAGGUCCCGAUUCAUGCUCUGCUGGCCAGAUCUAGAAGGAUAGUGCUCUGCAUUGCAAAAAGUACCUCUAGCCUGGAACAGGACCUGUCCUCUUUGAUUUUUCUACAUUUCACAGGUUUAAAUUAAGUACACUCAAAGGUGUUAUUUGUAGCAAUAUCCUAACUACAUUGAACUACCAUUUAACAUGCUGUUUCUACGGGAAACAUGUAUUGCAAGUUCUAACUCUAAGUGCUAGGAGUGUCCCAGCAUCCAUCCCAUCUUUGGUGAUGACAGCAUCCAUGGAAUCAACAUCUGAGGUACAGAACGUCACUGGGGAGGCCAGGAGAAAGCUCCUGGGUGCAGAUAGCUUGUGAUGGCUCCAUAUCUCUGUAUAUAUCUCAACACGACCCUCACACUCGAUACUCCAGGCAUGUCCACCUAUCUACAGAGGGCCCGCCAUCCUCAUUUCUUCACCACUGCUGUGUGCCAUGCUACAUCCUCUGCCUCACCUUCACCCAGCUGCUUGUUUUUAUCCUGUGGGCCACUUCUUUUCCUAACCUCUUCCCCGCUCUGUUGUCUGACACUCCAAAGCCACCAGAGCAUGUUGUACUUUCCCCAGUGUGGUGCUUCUCCACACUGGAUUGUGACUGUCAUUUGUGGUCAGCAUCUCCCCCAGACUGGUAGGAGGAGGAGAGGGUCGGACUCUUCACAGCAGUAUCCCCAACACCUGACUGGUGUCACAUGCUUCGUGGCCAGCAUUGAAUGAAUGAGCAAAUGUAUUAACAAAAAAUUGAAGGAAUGAAGAGAUAAAGCAACUUUUUGCGCUAAAUCACUGGUAUUCUCAAAUGGGUCACAUGACACACUGUCCUCUCAAGGGACAGAGACAAAGCUUGCAUCUGAAACUCCCCAUACCUGCACAUUCAUUGCUCAGUUAACCUUCACAAUAACCAACAUGAGGUAUUUCUUUUACAACAAUAAAAAAGUAAAUUGAUGACUAGAGAUAUUGAAUAAAUUGCCCAGCACCAUAAAGCUAGUAAAUGGCUGAACCCUGAACUCCAACCCAGCUCCCCUGACUGCAAAACCUGUGCUUUCCCACCACACCGGGCUGGCCAGGGGUUAGGAGCUCACUGAUGCCUGAUGGCAAACAUACUCCUGCUGUCGCUGCUGCUGCUCCCACUCCUGACUUCAGUAUUCCAGGCUCACACAGCCAAAUCAGCUCUCAGAAGAAGUCAACCCCAGAGUAGAUUCUGGGUCACAGCUGUUACAAUCAGGAAGUUGGUCUUUAACCCCAGGUAGAAGCUUCACUUCACUAGGGUGGGAUCUUUGAACACAGAGCAUCCCUUCCAUCUGCUGUCCCACACCUGCCUCCCUAUGCCUAUUCUCAUCAACACAUAUUUAAAACCUUUGAAGGACAACCUCAAGCCACAUGCAAAAAACUUCCUAAUUAUUAGGGAGCGAAUUUGCAAUAUUUUAGUAUAUAUAAGUAAGAGUGAAUGAAAGAGACAUAGAGGCCGAGGGAGAGGCAGAGAGAGAGGGAAACAGAAAGUGAAAGCAGAGGCAGAGUUAUGCAUAACAGGUUCUAAAAUACACUAUUUGGUAGGGGUGUAAUGAUGACGCACAUUGCUAGAGAAAAGAACAAAAUGGAGGAAGCUCUCUGGCGUCUAUGUGCCUUAUAAAAUUAUUAAUUUAACCAAUCCCUAAAGUCAUGAAGUAUUAAGUGACAAGUUGUCUAGCUACAAUAGUAUGAGUCAACUACUGCAUAUUCCACUCUAUUUUAACAUUGAAGCCUAAGAUGAUUUAGGCUAACAAAGUCAUUUUCCAAACAAAUCUAAAAAUCAAAUCUUCAUACAAGAAAAGAGGGAGAAGCACCAGACUUUAACCCCAAAUGGCAGCCAGUCUUUAUGAGAUUCUGUUACAGGGUCUGUAAAACUCUGAGCCAGCUGCAUGGAAAGGACCCAGGACCACUCACACUGACUGAUGUGGUCUUUGAAAAUGUGCCAGCAAGGCUUACAGAGAAGGAAACCAGAGCUUUUCAGAACUCAGCUCCUCUGCACAGCGACACAGUGAGAUGGACAAGGGCUGCUCUACUGAAUUUGCAAAUGUGAAUUUAACCCACUUAUGAAAACAGUACCGGGCAUGGCUAUAUCACUUAUCAGCUCAUCAAGUUUGUUCUGGAGGGGAAGCAGUUUUGUGUGGCCCCACUAUCAGGCACCAGCCUGUGAAUUAACCUUACUAUACUGCUACUUAAAAAUAUACCAACAUAAAUCUGGGUAUAAACUCUUCAUGCUGACAGCUCUGAUAUAACUUG
rnacentral:lncRNA from 1 species